AUUUUAUUAAACUUUAUUUUUUACUGCUGAAUUGGCAUAUUUUUGGUUACUUAACUCAUCACUAACAUGCACGAUAACAUUGUGAUAGUGUCUGCGACAAAAUAAUGACGAUAAAUGCAUGUUUCUUCUCGCUUCUCGCAAAUUGCUGGCUAUGUGAAACUGCCUUUACAGUCAGACUGCUUUCGAUGUUUGACCCAAUCAGGAUUGACUUCCUCGGUCUCAGACUCCCUGAACCUUCGCUAGGUCAUAAACCUACAUCUUCUUGUAACCGAACCACUCGAUUAUUUCUCGCGGCGACCUUCUGGCGCGAAGAGAAUCAAAUAUAGC
rnacentral:lncRNA from 1 species